GGCCCGCUUGCAGAACUGUCGCCAUAGGGCGUGCGUUCCGGUCGCACCGGAUAGGCAGCAGGCAUCUA
rnacentral:ncRNA from 1 species